CUCAGGACCUUGCAUUUGUGAGGCAGGCGGCAGAACCACUGAGGUCUGUUUCGGGCAGUUCUGAACAACUGCAGCUAAGCCAGCACUACUACAGGAGUAGGAGACACACGGGUUGCUGGGGUCAUCGAAUGAAGCACCAAUCUGGAAGAUGCAACUGUUGUCCCAGAGACUGUCCCAGUGGUGCCUGAAGUCACAGAGAGGAAGCGAGAGAGAGAAUCAAAGUAAUAUGUUUAUCAUCCCAAGAGUGUGGCCAACAAUGACUGUUGGUGACUUGAGAGCAGCAGAAAGCCCUUCUUGGGCAUCCAGUCAUGAUAAAGUACAUUUUCCAUUUUUGACUUCUAAGUCACAAUAAACACAUUAACACAUGCAAGAACAUCAUUUUCAGGUAUAGCUUGUUCCAGAA